rnacentral:rRNA from 1 species
AGGAUGAACGCUGGCGGCGUGCCUAACACAUGCAAGUCGAACGUCCUGUCUCGCAAGAGGCAGGGAGUGGCGGACGGGUGAGUACCACGUGGGUCAUCUACCGUGAGGUGAGGAAUACCGGCGAGAAAUCGCCGACAAGACCGCAUAGGCUCGAUGCAAGUCGAGCAAAGCUCUUUCGAGAGAGGGAGCGCCACACGAGGAGCCUGCGCCCGAUUAGCUAGCUGGUGGAGUAACGGUUCACCAGGGCGACGAUCGGUAGCUGGUCUGAGAGGACGAUCAGCCACACUGGGAUUGAGAACGGCCCAGACUCCUACGGGGGGCAGCAGUGAGGAAUUUUCGCAAUGGGGGCAACCCUGAACGAGCAACGCCGCGUGCAGGAGAGGUUUCGGAUCGUAAACUGCUUUUCUCGGGGAAGAGAACGGACGGUACCCGAGGAAUCAGCCCCGGCUAACUACGUGCCAGCAGCCGC